UCGAGUUUAACUCCAUCUCCCAAGAAGCCUGCAUAGCCGCCAAAAAACGGAAACGGAAAAAAAAUACUACGGCAAAUUUCUAGUUAAAGAGUAUUUCUAUCUCAGCAAGUCGAAAUUCCUUGAGUUUCUAAGCGACGGCAAUUGGCUGAGGCAAAAAUUUGUGACGUGAGUCCGAGCCCCGCGCUUAUCAAGAAACAUCAUCCUAUCAGGAUUCUGAGUUCUAAGCUUCAAUAUCAAAGCCAACACAACCAUUUCACCGCUCCAUCAGUCAGUUCGCUUGGGUCGAACGUACUGUAAGUAAAACACCAUGAGUUCGCCGAUGAAAACACAGGUCGUACGAUCUCAAACGCAAGGAUACAAAAAUGAUCUCUUGAAGCGGUACAAGUCAACGAAACCAUGCCCUAAUAGGGCCAAAUAUCAAAACAUAAAAAAAUAAUGUCAUCAUCCGCUAAUUACAGCAAUCAAUUGAUAUGUAACCAAAUGUAGGGCCACUAAGUAUGCCGAUAGUCAAUGUAUUAGCCAUAUCUUUUAGCAUUUAGUAAACUUUACUUAAACCAUCACAAACCAGGGACAAUGCAUCUAAAUAGGCAAUUUAGUUCUUAAGAUCAACUACAAUUAAAUAACAUUCACUGUAAGACUCGGAAUCCGAACAAUUAGGGCUCAAAGAAAGACAACCAAUUGAUAUCGCUCGCACUUAAAGUUUUCAUAAGUCUCGCUGCAAGAGCUAAACAUUGGCACGAUCCGCUUGAUCCGGGGCUUGUGAUCCGCUCUAAACGCUUCGAUUCCAACAAAAUUAUCCGGGAAAUCUAUAAGAUAUGGGUGUCCGAACUUGUUGAUCGCGUGCGUGGAAAAACUGCAUUAAAAUGGAGGCCAGGGUCCGGACCUUUGCCGUAACCGGGUACUACGAGCCGUGCGUCAAGCGGCAGUCGCCCCUCGCGUCGGUUGGGCGGGUGGUGGGUAACGAUUUACCGUUACACGUUGGGAAUGCGUUCGCAAAUAAAAAAUCGCGAUUUUGAUAAGGCUUACAAACGAAAAUUAUUUAACUUUUAUGUAAAGUUUUUUUGUAUCUUCCUAUAUAUUUAUGUCAACUUUUAAAGCAUUAUGCAUGUUACUUAUUGGUUGAAAGUGCAAAGGUUUUUAAUAUACAAAGAAAUCACCUGGUACAAUUAUUUAAUAUGCACGUUGAUUUUACUAAUAUUUAUAUAUAUCUUUAUAUAUCAUUAUAUUAUUAAAUAGCCUUAAAUCGUAGAACAUAACAGGCAUUUUAGGUUAGGAUCGAUAUCUCUAUGAUUGCAAAAGUAUUAAUCCUAUGUGGAGUAUAUAGUCCUUAGAAGAUAACCUAGAGAAAUGGUCUUCUAUCAUUGUAAGCUUAUUAGGUUGUAGUUAAAGAGAGUUGAUUAGAUAUUUUCGUAAAACAAGUUCACAGUUCUUAAAAAUAUUCAAGAGAAUUCCUAGGACGCCUGCUGGCAUAGCCAAUCCUUCCCUUUCCCAGAUGCAAACCUUGUUAACGCUUCUGGCGACGUCAACGGCGUCCACCCAAGAAAUGCAUAUUUAGUCAAGUGUUAAUAAUGUGGCUGCCACCGAGGGAUCGUCCCUUCGGCAGGAUGAGUUUUCCAGCCCGACUUUUGGGUUCUGGUUAGGCGGGAAAGGUGCAAGCGUGCGUUAAGCCAAGGAGCUCACGCAAGGCAAACAAAUACGGGGAGACACAAACAAAUGGGACAAAGGGAUAAAAAAUACAAAACAAAGGAAAAGUGAAGAAAAAUAAAAGGAAAAACUUGCCUGUCCGAACGGCCUCGCUGCCAGGGUCGCGAAUUAUAUUUCAUUGAGUUGUUCUGUCGCCUGUGGAUGUGGGAGAAAACAUAAAUAAAAAAUUAAAAUCAAAAGAAUGCAGAAAGAAGCAAACGAAAUGCAUAACUAAACGAGGAAUAGAGGUUACAAGUUGGGGAUGCUGUUAAUUUUUUUUUUUAUUCAAAAUGUGCCCUUCUCGGGAUUUUAAGAAAGUUGCGACGUUUAUUUAUUUCCGCAUUGCCGUGGUCCUUUCUUUACAUUUCCCUUCACUGUCUUGGGAUUUCUUUUGUUAUCAGUUUUUCGAGGAGUGGUAAUGUUGAUUUUUAUGCUUACGGCCUGCAUUUGAGUUGAUAAUGAAGGCAGACAUUAUAAAUACACCCCCUGUCCAUUUUCCGCACGGAUUUUAAUUUAGUGGUCUAUAAUUAAAAGCAUUGCGUUGGGGGCGAUGUCAGGUGGCCAAUUUGCACACAAUAAAGAAACGAGAAAAGGAAAGUCACUGUCAUUGGAAAUCCCGCAGAUACAAUUUACCUUUCUACGUCACGUAGUUUCAACGUCAAUUGCCCAGUUCGCCGCGGCUAUUUGGUGGAAUGGAUGAUGGGUCCUGAACAUUGAACGCACUCACACGGAAAUUACAAUGACAGGCAGUUCGCAGUCAGGGGCGUAGACACAAAGGGGGUUUUUUACGCGGAAAGUCGAUUUCGAUUUUUCGAUUUUUAAAAAUGGAAUUACUAUAACUGAAAAAAUAAGUUUACUAUAAGUAUUUUUGUGCAUGAGCCCCUUUUGUAAAAAAAAACUGGCAGGACUAAAAGUAUCUCGUGGAUAGCCUGCCGCAGGCAAUUGGCCACCCACUUGAAAAUUUAUGUGUUAAUUUUAAGGUGCCUAACGAGAGGAGGAAGUGGGCAACUUCUGGAGGUAUUUUCGCCUUUAUACAUUUCUUUUUUUCCGCCUUUUUGUAUUGGGCAGCAUUUUUCACAAAGUUUUUGCAGGUGCUGCCAGGGUCAGGCGCCUUUUUUGUGUGUAAUAAAUGAGCUAAUAAUAAGUGAAAUGUGCUUUUGAGUGACCCUAAACAAUUGCCCCGAAGAGAAAAUGGUCGAGGAAGCAAAAUUGAGGAGAAAAGGAAAAUCCCGUAAAAAUUGCUGUGAAAUUUCGGUUGGGCAGCCAAAAAAUGCGGCAAAGUGUCGGAAAUUCCUUUGGCGACAUGAAAAGAUUUGUUUAUAAUUAAUUUUCACCUCGCCAGCAUUUCCAGUUUUUUCCAUUUGUUUUAAGCUAGAAAAUUUUGUUAUCGCCAAAGUUCGAAACAUGUGUCGCCGAAGCUUAUUAAUUACACGAAUUCCUUUGGUCAGCAUUUUUUUUUUUUGGUAUAUUGGGAAAGAGCAAUUUGCAAAAGACUUUAAUAUAGCAUACCUAUUAGGGUAACGCCAAAAAAUGAUCAGUACAGAGCAUGUUAUAAUUCGAGUUUAAAACACACUAAAUGAAUAGCAGCUAUUUUAUUUUAAAUAUUUACUAUUUCAACCGAACUAUGAUGAUUUCGCCGUUUGUUGCCCAUUUAUAGCCCUGUUCAUAUUAGUGAAAUAUGCACCUCAGUUUCGACAUUUACGAGUGGUUCAAUGUGUUGACUGCUUUUGAGGAAAGUUGGAGAACACCAAGAGGAAAAUAACAAAAACCACAAAAGACAAGUGUUGAUGUGUCGAAGGGGAACAAUAUGCAAAAAAAAAAAAAAAUCAUCAGGAAUGUAAAAAACAGUGGCAGAAAAAUGAGAAAAACGAGGUGGAGAAAGAAUUUGUAUCCGCUUGUUGCAAAUUCCAAUCAAUUUUUGUUGUUCUUACGGACGAGAUGAGGGCGACUCAUUUGCCGGAAAAUUGAGUAGACAUGCAUAUCCGCAGACGAACGGAAAUGGUCAAGAUGCAGCUUUCGAACAGGGCCAUCAAUUAGACUUUUUUCGGCAUUUGCUGCUCCGCUGUGGGUCCUUUGUCUUGGGCGAUGGAGUUCGGCCUGUUUGGUUAACAAGAUGGAGCUGACAGAGCCGCAGGUUAUGGCUAAGGACCAACGUCAUUGAGACAAGCUGGUUGGCCCAGCAAACAGACAAACAAACCGAGUCCCUUUCUCCUCAAAAUUUCCUUGUUUGGCAACUUUUGCGGCCAAAAUGGAAUUUUGCGUUUGCCUAACUGGCAAAAAAUUGCCCAAAUAGUUGGGUGGUGGUGGUAAGGAUGUUCCGGUGUACUGUUCCUUCUCCAUAUGGCAUGUUUUGAUGUGUGGCAAAGUCUGCUGUGAAUUGGAAAUCGAAGUUAAUAUGCUCCGCAGACUGUGAAACAAAUCAUUUUCAAGUUGUUAAAGGAAAUCGACACGUUUUUGCCAUUUUAUAUUUAUUACGGGCGCUUUUUUUCCCGUUUGCCAGCAGAUGUUGCCAAAAGUGUCAGGGUGCGAGAUGGGUGCUAAAUGCCAAUAAACCUAAUAUUUUUGAUGAUAUUUCUUAGGAUAAUGUCGAAUGGUUCGAUAUUAUAAAAAUAUACAAAUAUCAGUUUAUUUAAAUCUAAAUCUGCUAAAUUAGGUUCUUUUUUGAGAACCUCUUUGAUUUAAUAACCUACCCCAAUUUGUAUCAAAUCUAAUCACAAUAACAAAUUACCAAUAUCUUCGCAAUUUUACAAUGCAUUCACUACUUUAAGGAUCUGUCACACAUUCCUUGAUGGCAACUUCAAAGCUGCUGAAUACAGCCACUUGAAUAUGCAAAACAAGAUGAACAAAAUCGUUUACGUUAGCUAUUUAACGGGGCGUUAGGGCGGCUGAAAAAAUCCCCGUACUCAACACAUUAUAUUUAUGCAACUUGAAAGAAGUUGGGGGGCGUCAUAAAAUUAGUAAGCACGUGAGUGGCCCUGCCUUCAUUAUCAUAACAGAAAAUCAUGCAAAAUAUAGGGAUUCAGCGGAGGUUGGCAGUUUUCUGUGAGGUUUUAUACCCACAUUUACAAGUCGUAGUAAGAGCGUUUUAGAAUUCUACAUUUUUUUAAACAUUCAAAUGUCAGCAAUGCAACUUAUUAUAAUAUAAUAAUAAUAAUAAUAAUAAUAAUAAUGCGGUAGAAUAUUUGAACUUUUAAUGAAUCAGCACUUGCAAUGCAAGUCUAUAUUUUUUACAUGAAAAAGAUUUUAUAACCUUUAUAGAAUGUCGGUCACGCAUAAGCAUGAUGUCUUCAUUCGCACCCUAAUCCACUAAACUUGAAAUAUUCUGUCAUCAAUGCAAACAAAAUUGUAUUAGAGUUGACGGUCAUUCGGAGGACUUACUCACCGGUUUUUGGAACUCGGACUAUGAGAACAGGUGGCCGAGUGUCCUGAUCCACUGGCGGUGGAACUUUUUGCCGGCUGACUAGCCGAGUCCCUGCCGGUGUCUGGCGGAGCUCCUCCUCCUGAUUCUCCCCGUUGCUGCUGUGGUGCACUCAUAACUCGGAGUGGUUAGCAAUAUAAUGACAAUUCUAUUCCAUUAGGAAUAUGUUUACAAAAUUUAAGGCAUGUGCGAAUCACAAUUGGCCAGUGGACCGCGUUUGUACUGUUGAGGUGCAUUAAAUCGUACGUUUUCAAAUCGACAAAGUUCCCUGAGAACAUUACUGCAUUCUGGUUUUGUUUUUGCCCAAAAUAUUUCACAGCAAACAAAUUAAUUCCGAAAUAAAUCAAAUUAAAUCCAGAACGUUUAUACAAUUUACGAAAGAGCGACACGAACAGCUGACUUGUUAUCGAUUGCGAAACGUAAAAGGCAUAGGGUUUCGGCGCUGCCACCUCGUUUCAAAAUCUGGCGGCAGUUCAAACUGGCAGAUGUGACUGUGACUGCUGGGUAUGCACAAUGAUACCCUACAAUUAUUACGUUUUAGGUGAACGGUCUUAAAAACGAUUAAGUAAAUAUAUAUAUUUGAGAAUUAAUUUAUCAUUCUACCAUUAAUGUAAUCCAUAUACGACUUUUAUAAUCAAAAUAAUUAAAAUAUUUACUUAGUUCAGCAAAUAUAAAAAAUUUUCCAUAUUUUUAUAACUGAACAAUCAAAAUUUAAAAAUUUUAAGGUUUUAAGAAGUCUAUUAAAUAAUCAAUGUGCACGACGAUUUCGUUUGUUCGCUUGUAUUGUCUCGAAUUUAUGCUAAUGUGUUGACGCUUAUAUUCGUAAAAAUUUUCAUUUGCUGAGCAUCUUGUGUUUACUUUACGCGUCGAUUUUUCAUUUUGUUUUAUUUGUGCUCGUUCGAGGGUUCUUUUUGGGCCCUCUUUUACAUUUCCAUAAUUAUAUGCAUCAGCUGGCAGGUGACUGAAUGCAGAAGCAAAAGGACGAGUCGCAAGAAAGAAUGAAUCCCGGAAAACAAUAAAAAGAAGGACUGGCGAGAACAAUUUGUGCGGAGUCUGUACUUUCGUUAUCUGAAUGGCAGAAUAAAACCAACAUCAAACUGUAAAUAUUGACAUUUUUGAAUUAUAAUCAAAGUGAAUAAAUAAUAAAGCGAAACAAG
ensembl:ncRNA lncRNA:CR45223 long non-coding RNA:CR45223